rnacentral:rRNA from 1 species
UACGAAGGGGGCCAGCGUUGCUCGGAAUCACUGGGCGUAAAGGGUGCGUAGGCGGGUCUUUAAGUCAGGGGUGAAAUCCUGGAGCUCAACUCCAGAACUGCCUUUGAUACUGAGGAUCUUGAGUUCGGGAGAGGUGAGUGGAACUGCGAGUGUAGAGGUGAAAUUCGUAGAUAUUCGCAAGAACACCAGUGGCGAAGGCGGCUCACUGGCCCGAUACUGACGCUGAGGCACGAAAGCGUGGUGAGCAAACAGG